GUCAAACUGUCAAAUCAAAAAAAAAUAUAAAUAUUACACAAUUUGUGCGAUAAUUUCUAAUUUAACUAUUAAAGUGCAUGUAAUUUAUUGUUUAAAAUGGCAACGAAAGAGAAUACUCCACCCCGCGACUGUCUGUCGUGCAGAAUCGUAGGGGGUGUCGGUUUGGUUGGGAUAGGAGGUUACCUGGCUAACAGUGCCUGCAAACAUAAAACAUUACCUGGAAAAUAUGGUCUAUCUGUGUUAUCUUUUGCAUUCAUCUGUUUGGGAGUAGCGAGGUACAAGCAAACAUUUCCAUUCAAUAAAAAUGCUGAAUUCAAGACAAGAGCAUGAUUGUGUACACAAGUACCAUUGUUAAUUUGUACCCUAAGUUCUACUGUGUAAGUUGUAAAAUACUGUAAAUUGAAAUCAAGUUUGUUACGUUAUAGUCAUAGAAUAAAUUAAAUCUUUGGUUAUGAAA